ensembl:lncRNA
GCCCAACCCUGGGCCCUGCACACCUCCCCACCCCUCCAGAGGGGUUCAGUACCCUGCCCACCCCACCCCCAUAUGUACACGGCUGCCCAGCAUUUGGGACAGAUGGGGGUAAGAGAGACAAAGUGAUCUGACCCCUUCCCCUUCAUAGCUCCAAAGACUCACCAGGAGGACCCCAGGCCAAGGAAGACUCCACAGAAACAGGAAGGCUGGUGCCCUGGUGAGCCACUCCAAGUGGCAGUGCCCAUGCUGAGCAGGUCUUCAUGGCCAGGCAGGUGCUGGCAGCACCAGUCCCAGACAGAGUGGGUGCCCGAGCCAUGUCCCUGAGGUAGCUAAUGCCUGUGCAAAAGUAGGAGCCGCACCUCCUGCGCGCCCUGCCGAUGCGGUGGGUCCCCUCACACCGAAGACUCCUCCGGGUUAGAGUCGGGCAGGGUCUGGCGCUGCUGCAGCUUGCGUCCCAGUUCAUCAGCGAGCUCAGGCAGGGGGUGCCCGCCCCCGGUCCUCUCCCUCCUAACUGUAAGCGCACAUAACCGUUGGCAUUCGAGUUCCGUCCGCCCCCAGGUGGAGCCGAGUUGGAGAAGGCAAGGGUUGGCCAGGGAUGCCGGGAGGGGGGAGGGGGCCCGACCCCAGGCUGGCACCUUGCAUGUCCAGGAACAAUCUUCAGUGAGCCAUCCGAGUAGUAGUAGCCAACAGGAUCCCAAAGUUUCUCAUCCGUUUCCGGGCCAGGCCGGAAGGGGGCACUGGUGGAUUCCUUGGGCAGCUCCAGGGGGUACACCAGAGUCCUCUCGGCUGCCUUGGCACCUUUUUCCAGCUCUUCCCGCAGCCGCCGGCGCAGUGACAGAACCAGCAGCAGCAAUACCAGGCACACGGCCCCCAGGGCCACCACAGCUAGCCAUACCAGCCCCAGGUUUUCCAAGGGCGCCCUGGCCUCCAAGGUCACUGAUGGGCCCGCCACAACAGCCACAAGGUAGCCUUCUGCAGCCAGCCGUGCCCCCUGCUCCUCCGAAAAGCAGUGGUAGGUGCCCGCAUGACGGGGCUGGGCAGCCAUUACCACCAGGGCCUGCAGCCGGGUAUCGUAAAGGAAAGAACCAGGCUGUUCUGCAGGUAGAUCCCGAUCCCUGAAGGUCCAGCGGGCACGGGCCAGGUUGGAGGAGAGGCGGCAGGGUAGCACCAGGUCUGUACCAGCUACCACCGUGAUGUUUUUGGGAGUGAGCCUGGCUGUAGUGGCAGAGAUGAGAGAGCAGUUAGUGAGGGAAACCCAGAGCCAGGGGAUGCGGGGACUCUGGCUGUGGCCCAGGGCUCGAGUAGGAGGGGGACAAAAAGGACACCUCACCUUUCUUACUGCCACGAAGGUUGCAGAUGCUCGAUGUGUCCAAGAUGGUCACAUGCUGGACCAGCAGGGAUCUGGAGGGGAACCACGGAUGUUAGUACCUCAACUCCAGCUUGUCUGCCCUCCCAUCCCAGGGCAGGCACCCACAGAGCCCAACUCACCCGGAAUGGCCACCUGUGGCCACACAGAGGCUGGUGUUGACAUUCCAGGCGCAGUAGGGGUCCCGGGCAAGCACACAGUCUGCACAGGAGCGGUACUUGCUACAGGCUGCCAGGGGCACCUGAACCAGCUGAGAGCGGGAGCCGGCAAAAAGCAGCUUCUGCAGGGAAAUCAAGGACAGGAGGGUCAGCAGUACCAGGGACACAGCUGGGGACAGCUCUGACUCCCCCAGGAAGCACAGCCCCAAGAGGUGGUCCUGGGAGAGAGGAGGCAGAGGCGCAUCUGAAGCCUGCCGAAUUCACUAAGGGCUUACUACAAGCUGGCCCAAUCCCAAGCACCUUACGACUGUGACCUUAUUAAACAGAGACACCACAUGCGUCCUUAGGCUCACACUCGUCCCCACAUUCACACACAAUAAGAGCAGAAAACAGCAGCCCUAAAGAUAGCAGAAAUGCAGAGUAAGGUGUCUGUUCGGUGGCUGCCAACCUGUGUUUAUACAACCCCACACUUUCUGCCAUUAUUCCAUGUUCUCAGAAACAAUUUGGACUCACAAUAGCUGGUAAAAGGCAAGUCAAUCAAAGUACACAGGGUGCUGGGAAUAUGCCAGAAAGUUUUGAAAAAAAAAAAAUGCCAACACAUCAGGGAAAUGGUCAAGGAAGUAAGGAAGCUGAAGGCUGGGCCCAGAGGGCCCCUGGGGACUGUGAGGAACCCACGUCACAGGGAUACCGUAAGCGUCCCGCAGCCUGGGAGGUGUGGCCAGCAGGGUGUGAUGGGAAGAGGCUGGAGGGAGAGGGGCUGAGAACACAUGAGCGGGGGCCAAGCCCUGAGCUGGGAAUCAGUACUGGGAGACCUGGCUAUAUAUAAAGGCACUGUGGAUUCCGGUGGUUAGUGCUGUCACUUCCUGGAGCUCAGGCUCAGCUAAAUGGGGCACCCACUGGGCAAACAUGGGAGCCAGACAGAGGGAGCAGCAUGGGGC